rnacentral:rRNA from 1 species
AGUGAACGCUGGCGGCAGGCCUAACACAUGCAAGUCGAGCGGCAGCGCGGGGGCAACCCUGGCGGCGAGCGGCGUACGGGUGAGGAAUUCGUCGGAAUCUGCCUUUUUGUGGGGGAUAACGUAGGGAAACUUACGCUAAUACCGCAUACGUCCUACGGGAGAAAGUGGGGGACCGCAAGGCCUCACGCAGAAAGAUGAGCCGACGACCGAUUAGCUAGUUUGUGGGGUAAAGGCCCACCAAGGCGACGAUCGGUAGCUGGUCUGAGUGGAUGAUCAGCCACACUGGGACUGAGAAACGGCACAGACUCCUACGCGAGGCAGCAGUGGGGAAUAUUGGACAAUGGGCGCAAGCCUGAUCCAGCCAUGCCGCGUGUGUGAAGAAGGCCUUAGGGUUGUAAAGCACUUUUGUCCGGAAAGAAAUCCAUGGAGCUAAUACCUGCGGGGGAUGACGGUACCGGAAGAAUAAGCACCGGCUAACUUCGUG